rnacentral:rRNA from 1 species
GCACCGGCUAACUACGNGCCAGCAGCCGNGNUGAUACGUAGGGUNCGAGCGUUGUCCGGAUUUAUUGGGCGUAAAGGGCUCGUAGGUGGUUGAUCGCGUCGGAAGUGUAAUCUUGGGGCUUAACCCUGAGCGUGCUUUCGAUACGGGUUGACUUGAGGAAGGUAGGGGAGAAUGGAAUUCCUGGUGGAGCGGUGGAAUGCGCAGAUAUCAGGAGGAACACCAGUGGCGAAGGCGGUUCUCUGGGCCUUUCCUGACGCUGAGGAGCGAAAGCGUGGGGAGCGAACAGGCUUAGAUACCCUGGUAGUCCACGCUGUAAACGGUGGGUACUAGGUGUGGGGUCCAUUCCACGGGUUCCGCGCCGUAGCUAACGCUUUAAGUACCCCGCCUGGGGAGUACGGCCGCAAGGCUAAAACUCAAAGGAAUUGACGGGGCCCCGCACAAGCGGCGGAGCAUGCGGAUUAAUUCGAUGCAACGCGUAGAACCUUACCUGGGUUUGACAUGGAUCGGGAGUGCUCAGAGAUGGGUGUGCCUCUUUUGGGGUCGGUUCACAGGUGGUGCAGGGCUGUCGUCAGCUCGUGUCGUGAGAUGUUGGGUUAAGUCCCGCAACGAGCGCAACCCUUGUUCACUGUUGCCAGCACGUUAUGGUGGGGACUCAGUGGAGACCGCCGGGGUCAACUCGGAGGAAGGUGGGGAUGACGUCAAGUCAUCAUGCCCCUUAUGUCCAGGGCUUCACGCAUGCUACAAUGGCUGGUACAGAGAGUGGCGAGCCUGUGAGGGUGAGCGAAUCUCGGAAAGCCGGUCUCAGUUCGGAUUGGGGUCUGCAACUCGACCUCAUGAAGUCGGAGUCGCUAGUAAUCGCAGAUCAGCAACGCUGCGGUGAAUACGUUCCCGGGGCUUGUACACACCGCCCGUCAAGUCAUGAAAGUUGGUAACACCCGAAGCCGGUGGCCUAACCGUUGUGGGGGAGCCGUCGAAGGUGGGACUGGUGAUUAGGACU